rnacentral:rRNA from 1 species
UACGUAGGCAGCGAGCGUUGUUCGGAGUUACUGGGCGUAAAGGGUGUGUAGGCGGUUGUUUAAGUUUGGUGUGAAAUCUCCCGGCUCAACUGGGAGGGUGCGCCGAAUACUGAAUGACUUGGAGUGCGGGAGAGGUGAGUGGAAUUCCUGGUGUAGCGGUGAAAUGCGUAGAUAUCAGGAGGAACACCGGUGGUGUAGACGGCUCUCUGGACCGCGACUGACGCUGAGACACGAAAGCGUGGGUAGCAAACAAG